CCAGGAGACAGAAGUGGAAAGAGAGUAAUCUAUCUUCCUACCUUGCUUUAGACAUGUGGAGUUUUUCCAUUUCAAGAGGAAAAGUACUGGUAGACUAGAGAAUUUUUUUUUCCCUUUUUUAAAUGUCUGUAUCUCAACAUCUUUCUUAUUUUUGCACAACCCCCUCUCACUUUUUGGGAUUUUAAGGAAUAAACAAGCCCAUCUUCCACAGUGGGGGCUAAAGAGAUCAGAUAUUCCCUCUUCCUACUCUGUCAGGUAGUGCGAGGGUACUUGACCAAUUGCUUGUUCUUGCUGAGGACUCUGCACCUUGAGGAAGUGUCACUGAGACUGAGAUAGUUGAUAUCUCUGUUGCAUCAUCAACAUUCCAGAAGAAGCAGCUACUUGUUUCCUCUGGCAGCACCACCAGAAGUUCUCACCAAGUUAUUUCUGUGGUGUGACCUCCUUUUCUUUCAUACUGCCUGGAUUCUCAAGGUUCCUGCACAUGAUUUCAGCCUGAGAAAACUCAUCCAGCUAGAAAAAGGAGGUAUCCUACUGGACAAAGAAGAGAAUUUGCUAGAUGUGGAAGCAGUUCAGACGAGGAAGGUCACCCCGGUCUUCCGCAGGCAGAUAUUUCCUGGUAUCCGUAUCCUUCUACCACAUGAAGUGAGUCCAAAGUUUCGGCACUGUCUUUUGGUGUUCAAUGUGUCUUUCUCAUGUUAUUCAUUGACUUAUGGGAAUAAAGCUUUGUUAAAUGACUACUAGGCCUUGGUUCUGAAGCAGGAC
rnacentral:lncRNA from 1 species